rnacentral:misc_RNA from 1 species
GAAAUGCGAUAAGUAGUGUGAAUUGCAGAAUUCAGUGAAUCAUCGAAUCUUUGAACGCACUUUGCGCCCCUCGGUAUUCCGUGGGGCAUGCCUGUUCGAGUGUCAUCUACACCCUCAAGCUCUGCUUGGUGUUGGGCGUCUGUCCCGCCUCCUUCGCGCGCGGACUCGCCCCAAAUCCAUUGGCGGCGGCCCUUGCCUCCCUCUCGCGCAGCACAUUGCGCUUCUCGAGGCGCGGCGGACCGCGUCCAGCAAGCAACCGUCACACCGUCUUUGACCUCGGAUCAGGUAGGGAUACCCGCUGAACUUAAGC